UCCUGCCAGUAGUGAUAUGCUUGUCUCAAAGAUUAAGCCAUGCAUGUCUGAGUACAGACCGAUUUAAGGUGAAACCGCGAAUGGCUCAUUAAAUCAGUCAUAAUUCCUUGGAUAGUGAUAAACUUCCUCGGAUAACUGUGGAAAAUCCAGAGCUAAUACGUGCAACUGAGUUCCGACCUCGGCGCAAGCCUUGGGAAGAACGCAUUUAUCAGAUUCAAAACUGACCGACGUACUCCUCCGGGAUGCGUCGUUUGUCAAAUGUUUGAUGACUCCGGAUAACUUAGCCGAGCGCUACGGUCUUAGUACCGGCGCCGUAUCUUUCAAGUGUCUGCCUUAUCAGCUUUCGAUUGUAGGUUAAACGCCUACAAUGGCUGUAACGGGUAACGGGGAAUCAGGGUUCGAUUCCGGAGAGGGAGCCUGAGAAACGGCUACCACAUCUAAGGAAGGCAGCAGGCACGCAAAUUACCCACUCCCAGCCCGGGGAGGUAGUGACGAAAAAUAACGAUGCGAGACUCUUCCGAGGCCUCGCAAUCGGAAUGAGUUCAUUUUAAAACUUGGACGAGGAUCCAUUGGAGGGCAAGUCUGGUGCCAGCAGCCGCGGUAAUUCCAGCUCCAUAGCGUAUAUUAAAGUUGCUGCGGUUAAAAGCUCGUAGUUGGACUUCCUAGAUCCAAUUCGUGAGCGAGUCGCUCGUAGAACCCUCGUUCGAUGCGGUGAUUGUAGUACGACGGUAUGGGAUGUUGCGUUUCGUUGCUUUCGGGUAUACGUUCGCAAUUAUGCCGUUAUCGGAGUCUCAAUGGCGGUCGUUCGUUGUCUUCGAGUAUUGCUCGUUCGCGUUUGGUACAAUUAAAAUUUAGUCGGCUCGCUCGGAGUGCUCUUUACCGAGUGUUCCAGGGUGGCCGACAUGUUCACUUUGAAAAAAUUAGAGUGCUUAACGCGGGCUCAAGUCGCCUGAAUGUCUGUGCAUGGAAUGAAGUAACAGGACCUCGAUUCUGUUUUUUUUGUCGGUUUUAUUGAACCGAGGUAAUGAUUAAAAGGGACAGACGGUGGCAUUAGUAUUGCGGCGCUAGAGGUGAAAUUCUUGGACCGCUGCAAGACUAACUACUGCGAAAGCAUUUGCCGAGAAUGUUUUCAUUAAUCAAGAACGAAAGUUAGAGGAUCGAAGGCGAUCAGAUACCGCCCUAGUUCUAACCCUAAACUAUGCUAACUAGCGAUCCGCCGGAGUCAUUCCCACGACCCGGCGGGAAGCCCCAGGGAAACCAAAGUUUUUGAGUUCCGGGGGAAGUAUGGUUGCAAAGCUGAAACUUAAAGGAAUUGACGGAAGGGCACCACCAGGAGUGGAGCCUGCGGCUUAAUUUGACUCAACACGGGAAACCUCACCAGGCCCGGACAUUAUAAGGAUUGACAGGUUGAGAGCUCUUUCUCGAUUUAAUGGGUGGUGGUGCAUGGCCGUUCUUAGUUGGUGGAGUGAUCUGUCUGGUUGAUUCCGAUAACGAACGAGACUCUACCCUACUAACUAGUCGGCGGAUCGUAACCCUGAGAUGGUUAGUGUGUAUAGGUUGGUUUGUCCGAGACGAGUUUUGUUUYCAUUCUGCGCUCUCGCUUAUCGUUUGUCUGGAGUUCUGCUUCUUUCGAGCGUUUGCGAGUUGGGUCGUUUUGGGGCUUCUCGUCGAAAGCUGCCUUCUGAUUACUGCUACUGCUGGGGGCGUCCGUCGCAAUGUAUCUUCUUAGAGGGAUCAGCGGCGUAUAGCCGCACGAGAAAGAGCAAUAACAGGUCUGUGAUGCCCUUAGAUGUUCUGGGCCGCACGCGCGCUACAAUGUAGAGAUCAGCGUGCUUUCCCCUUCCGAAAGGAACGGGUAACCAGUUGAAACCCCUACCCGAUUGGGAUUGGGGAUUGCAAAUAUUUCCCAUAAACGAGGAAUUCCCAGUAAGCGUGAUUCAUCAGAUCGCGCUGAUUACGUCCCUGCCCUUUGUACACACCGCCCGUCGCUACUACCGAUUGAAUGAUUCAGUGAGGGCAUCGGACUGGCGCCUUCGGUUUAGUAACAUAGACCUUAGGCUGACGGAAAGAUGUCCGAACUUGAUCAUUUAGAGGAAGUAAAAGUCGUAACAAGGUUUCCGUAGGUGAACCUGCGGAAGGAUCAA
rnacentral:rRNA from 1 species